rnacentral:lncRNA from 1 species
UUUUUUUUUAGUUCUUCUCAUAUUUGAAAAUUAAUUUUUGCUAUAGAAAACACAUAAGUUUAUAGAAAAAAAUCAAUAAAAUAUAAUAAUUAAUUAUAUUAUAUUUUGACUUAAAUGCAACUUUAAUUUUUUUUUCAUUUUUUUUAGUUUUGAUCCUGCAUUUUAAAAUUAAAUUUGUAAUCCCCAUAUUUUAUUUAUUUUUUGGAUUUUAAUUUUUUAAUUUAAAAUUAAAUUUUAAUAAAUUUGACUCAUUUCUAGUGAGUAUGAAAAAUUAUCUAUAAUGAAUAGUAUAAAAUUCCGUAAAAUGAAUACGGGUAUGGGCACGGAUAUUAUCCAUUAAAAUAAACGGAUAUGGGCGUGAGACGAAUACAUUAAUAUUCAUUCCGUCUUAUAGUUGUAUAUAUUUCUGUAUUUUUAUUUUUAUUGUUAAAUAUAUAUGUAUAUGUUUUUUUUAAAUCAAUUUUUUAAAUUAUAUAUCAAAAUAAUCAUGUUUUUAAUUUAUUUAUCAAACUAAUCAAGUUUGUGGGAGCAUGCAUGUAAAAUAUAAAAGGAUGUGUCUUUUCUAUUGAUGCAUGCAUAUAAAAACAUGUAAAAUGUAAGAGUAUACGUCAUUGCAAUUGGCGCAUGCAUGUAAAAUGUAGGAGUAUGCGUCACUGCAAUUGGUGCAUGUAUGUAAAAAAAAUAAAAAGUAACACAUGCAUGCGUUUUGUAGUGGCAUAUACUUCUAUUACAUGCAUGCGAAAAUUAUAGUGGCGCAUGCGCCUAUGUAUAUGAAUUGAUCGUGCGUCAUAGUAAAUGGCACAUUGGUUUUUUUUUAAAGUAGUUAUAUUAAUAAAUACUUUGAAAUUGUGAUUAUUUUUAAAUUAUUUUUGAAAAAAUAAUUAUUUUAAAAAGAAAUUAUAUAUAUUUUAUCAAUUUUAUUAAAUACAUCACUAUUAAAUUUAUAUAAAUAUAUUUUUAUUAAAUACAUCACUAAAAAUAACUAUUUUAAUAUAAAUAUUUUAUUAAUUUAACUCAACAAUAAUAUCUUUAAUUUUUUUAACGUUUUAAAAACUAAAAAUAACAUUAUAAAUUAUGACUGAUACACCCUAUCAAACUCUAUCCAUUAUAAUUCCUAGACAUGACAUCCUUGUUGAUGUCUCAUUAUCAUAUUUAUCACAUUCAUAAUAAUUAAUUCGUAGUAAUUAAUUUCAAGUAACUUUUGUAAUUUUUAAUUAUAUCAUUUUUAUAUAAAAUUUAAAAAAUUAUUAUUUAAAAUCAGAAAAACAAAAUUUUGUUUCACACAAGGAUAGAACUCCACACCUAAGUGACUAUAGGUGUUAAUUUGUUGUACAACUUAAUCACCAACCUUUCUUGUUAAAUUUCGGCAACAGUAAUAUCUAACAUUGAAGUUCGUUUCAUAUGCUCUCGUCCAUGUUCUUCAUAUAUCUCUGCAUCAUUAAGAACAUCAUCUUGUGAUAUUAUCUUAAUUUUACUGUUCACAGUGAAACGUGAUGCAAACAUAUAGCAUAGAAGGUUUUAAAGCAAAACGUUGUUUGGAUAUCUUAUGCUUCUUUAUCCAUACCAUCUUUUACUUAAUUGUUUAUCUUAUGCUUCUUUAUCCAUGAGAAGGUUACACACCCUUUACAUGCAUUUCUUCUUUAGGUUUGAUACACAGCACUAGAAAGAAGGUGUUACGAAGAUUGUAUUCAAAAAUUCAAAGCGUGUAAAUUUCACAUUAAUUUUUAGAUUCAAUUCGUUCCUAUCAAUUAUUAUAUAUCGGAUGCAAUAAGGAUUAACGGUGAAUUUCCUUUAAGAUAUUUUGAAUACCUUAAUGUGAAUUGCACAAACACAUUAAACUUAUCUUUUGAUAAUAGGUUAUAGAAAAAUGUUUCCUACACUUCACUCUGUUAGAUAUAUCGAUAAAGUUGAAUGGAUUCAGGUAUGAAUCGUGAUUGAUGUCACUUUCCUUUAAAGUAUUUCAAUCACUCUCUUUAUUGUCUUAGAGUUGAAUGCAAGAAUACCCAGGAUAAUUCAACCUCGUAAUCGAAUCUGCACAAGAUUGGUGAAGAUUCGAAUGCAGGAAAAUGUGUCUUGAAUUUAUGAGAAGAAAAUGCACGAAUUUGAUGUGUUGAUUUUCGAAUACUUAAAAAUGUAUUUAUAGGCCAUGCAUGUGUUGUUUCACAAGGUUGCAACUCUUGAUGAAACAACACAUUUUCAGCAUAUGUUAGCAAUGGAUCGACUAUGGAUACAUUAUGUACCACUUCAUGAAUUGUUGCAUAUUUCGAAUUCGAAAUUCAGACUCUAAGCAACGACCAAAACCAAGAACAAUGAUUAAAACUAAACUGUCAUAUGCGUCAUGCAUAAGUGCUCAAGUGCCCCCUACAAGCCGCCACUAACGCCUCUACGUCCACGCCCUCGGACCUGGUCCCGUAGCCUGAGACGGAGUCGCUGGUGGAAACACCGACAAGGGGUCGUUUGGAUGAGAAAUGUGACAUAAUAUUUGGGAUCACCACAUUUGUCCAUGUGGCAUAAUAUUUGGGACCACCGCAUUUGUCCAUGUGGCAUUUUAUCCUCUUUAGCUCCUUUGUUGAGUUUAAUAUUUUUAAGUCUUCAUAAAUGCUUUUAAAGUGAGCACCACUUUCUAUGUGGGACUAUUGGCAAUGCAUUUAUUAUUAUUAACUCAACUUCACACUUCCUGUCAUAUUGGGACACUCUCAUGGGAAUUAAUUAUUCAUAAUUUCCAACAAUCUCUCACUUGUUCUAAUGAUGACAAGAUCAAUUCCAGAAAAUAUAAACGAAGAAUGUUAAUAUACUUAAGUAUCUUUCGAUUUGAACUUAACCUUAGUAUGGAUAAUGCAAAGUCUAAUCGGAAUGUUAGAUAGCAAUGCUUUGAACUGUUAUCCCUUGUGAUUAUACCGACAUUACCUUACACACAUUCUUUAAUGGUUCUUCGCCUACAUCUUUCGCCUAACACUAUUUAUGGUCAUGUAUUUUUCCUUUUUCGUGAAUUUUCAUGAGAGAAACUCCAACUCUCACCUUGAGACGGAACCAUCUCGAAAUUCAUACAGGUGAAGUUCAUUUUGUACCUAUUUUCUAAGAUACAUGUCCUCGAUAAAGAACUUUAUUAAGAGUUUGAAAAACUCAACCCUCAAUAUGUAAUAGUCAACAUUGUCACAAAAUAUUGCACAAUCAUCCAACUCAACGACUUUUUGUUACUCAUUGAAUCUUAGGUUAAGAUUUAUUAACUUCAGAUUGGGUUGUUGUCGGAACCCUUAUUUAAGGAGUUUUAAUCACAUGCCUUUAGAGGUAGUCUUUACUAAGUCUCUGGCCAGUGGCUUAGUAAACGGGUCAGCUAAAUUAUAGCGUAUUCAUAUAUAUGUUAGUGAAAUAAUUUCAUCCUUAAUUAAUUUUCUCACGAAAGAAUGUCUAAGACCUAUGUGCCUAGAUUUUCCAUUAUAUACUUCACUGAAUGCUCUUUUUAGGGUGGUUUGGCUAUCACAUUGUAUAAACACUUUCGAAACAUUGUCUCUAGUCAACGGAACUUCCAACACAAGGUCCCUUAACCACUCAGCUUCUUGACCAGCGGAAGCAAGAGCCACAAACUCUGAUUCCAUAGUCUAAAGAGUAAUACAUGUGUUAUUUCUUGCUUUUCCAAGAAAUCGCACAUCCAGCCAAUGUAAAUAUCCAUCAUUUUGUAUAUUUAUGAUCUUCAACACUCAAUAUUCAACUCGCAUUAGUAUAUCCUUCUAGUAUGACAGGAAACCUACCAUAAUGAAGGCCAAGUUUUUUAGUUUUUAAGAGGUAACCGAAAAUCCUAGUUAUGGUCUUCCAAUAUUCAUCAUUUGGAUUGCUAGUAAAUCUACUCAUCUUACUAACUGCAAAUGUUAUGUUAGAUCUAGUACAUUGCAUUAAAUACAUCAGACAUCCAAUUGCACUUGCAUAUUCCAAUUGGACCACAAUUCUUCCAUUGUUCUUUUGAAGUUUGACACUAGGAUCAAAUAGAGUACUUACUUCCUUAAAGUUUAGGUGUUUGAACUUAUCCAACAUUUUCUCAAUUGGAGUAAAUCCAUUUGAAAGUAUGACAUAGUUAAACUUUUGAUGUCAUUGUUUUGGUGCAUGUUUUAAAUCAUAUAAGGAUUUGAAAAGUUUGCAUACAUUUUGUUCAUUUCCAGGAAGCACUUAACCUUUUGGUUGUUCCAUGUAGAUUUCCUCAUCAAGAUCUCCAUUUAAGAAUGUUGUUUUAAAAUCCAUUUGAUGAACAAUAAGUUCAUUCAGAGAAGCUAAUGAAAACAAUACUCUUAUUAUCGUAGUCCUUGCCACUGGUGCAUAUGUGUCAAAAUAAUCAACAUCUUCCUUUUGUCUGAACCAUUUUGCUACUAAUCUAGCCUUGUAGGUGUUUAAUGUACCAUCACUAUGAUACUUUUUCUUAAACACCCAUUUACAUCCAAUGGUCCUUGAAUCCUUUAGAAGAUCGAUAAGUUCCCAAGUGUGGUUUGAUAUAAUUGAAUUCAUUUCGUCUUGGAUAGCAUCUUUCCAAAAAGAAGAGUCCCUUGAAGCCACUGUUUCUUUAUAUGUUUUAGGCUCAUCUUCUAAUUGUAGAAUAAUAGGAAUCGUAUGAACAUCAUUCUUGUAAUUUCCUUUAACUAGAUAAAAGGAAAUUAGUUGAGAAUCGAUUUCAGUUAGUCCUAGAAUUUUAGCUUUUCGGGCUCUUUUGCUUAUCCUAGGUUCAAGUUAUGUUUCAAUAAUCCACGAGAUACUUUCGGGUUAUUUUUCAAAAAUUCAUGGAGAUUUUCAUUACGAGAUUCUUCAUUUGUGGGAAUCUCAUAUUCCUUAUCCUUCGUGAUAAGUUUUUCAAAGAACUCCACAUCUCAAGAUUCAACAAUUAUGUUAGACUCCAGAUUUAAAAGUCUAUAUGCCUUGUUGUUGGAUGUAUAUCCUAUGAAAGCAUAUUUGAUCCCUUUAGGACCUAAUUUAGUUCUUUUAUGAUCAAUAUUCUUGUAAUAUGCCACACACCCUCACACUCUAAAAUAACUGAUAUUUGGUGAUCUAUCAUUCCAUAUCUCAUAUGAGGAGAUACUGAUUAACUUUAAAGGAAUCAUAUUCAUUAUAUGACAUGCGAAUAGUAAUGCCCCACCCUACAAAUUAAAUGGCAAUUCAGAAUGUAUUAACAUGGCAUUUAUUAUUUCUUGAUAUGUUCGAUUCUUUCUCUCGGCUAGACCAUUUUGUUGUGGUGUGCGAGGCGCGGAGCAUUCAUGUAUAAUGUCAUAUUCUUCACAAUAUGCAUCAAAUCAUGUAGAAAAAUAUUCACCGCUCAUAUCACUUCUAAGGACUCUGAUACUUCUAAUUAAUCGAUUUUCUACUUCCGCUUUAUAGAUUUUAAAGGCAUCAAAAGCAUCAUUUUUAUGCUUUAGAAGAUAUACAUGUAUGAACCUAGAGCAAUGAUCAAUAAAGGUUAUGAAAUAUUGGUUCCUCCCACGGGUUAGCAUGCCAUUAAAUUCACACAAAUCAUAGUGCAUCAGAUCAAACAAAUUUGAUUUUCUUUCAACACUUUUGAAAGGUUUCUUGAUCAUUUUUGAUUUGAUACAUAUUUCACAUUUUUCAAAAUCAUGAAUAUUGCAUGAGAUCAAACCAGAUUUAAUUAGUCUAUUCAUAGUACUAAUACCAAUAUGUGUUAAUCUAGAAUUCCAUAAAGAAUUAGAUUCAAGUAUAUAAGCAGAAUUAGAGAUUUCAUUAAUAAUAUUAUCGGUAGUAUAAAGUUUGAUCAUUCCCUCAAUGGAAUAUCCUUUUCCUACAAAUAUACAAUUACAGGUCAAUAUUAGUUUGUUCGAUUCAUAUACAGACUUAAUACAAGGUUUUCCCAAUAAGUCCCCACUAACUAGGUUUUUAUUCAUGUUGGAGACAUGGAGUACAUUGACAAGAGUGACUUUCUUUCCGUAAGUGAAAUUCAGUUGACGGAUCCUUUUCCAACGACUCUAGAUCAUACUUCAUUUCCCAUCUACACUUCUUGUCCAUCAUUUAAUUCUGAAUAGUUUUUAAAUGUUGUUUUAUCAUAAGAAACAUGCACGAUAGCACAUGUAUCAUACCACCAUCCUUGCAUUUUUCCUUUGAUUGACAUAAUCUCGCUCACCGUCGCAAUUAUGUUGUCAUUUGCAUGAACAACAUUAACUUUGUAUUUUGACUUGUUAUACCUGCAAUCUCGAGCAUAGUGGUCUGGCUUGCUACACACAUAACAGGCGUCUUUUGGUCUUUUUGGUCUGCCAGAAUUCUUGAACUUGUUAUGUUCCUUCUUAGAGCCAAGAUGGUUCUUCAUGCCAUCAUCUUUCCUCUUUCCUUUUCCAACUACAACAUUGGCUUUAGAGUAUCCAGAGGACUCUGAUUUUUCUCUAUCCUUUGUCCCUUCCUCGAUUCGAAGGUGUUUCUGAAGUUUUUCCAACGAUAAAUCCUUAGAGUUAUGCAUCAAUUUCUUCCUGUAUCCUUUCCACGAAGGUGGCAAUUUUGCAAUGAUUGCACCAACUUGAAAAGCUUUUGAGAUGUCUAUUUUUAUAGUUUUUAUUUUAUUCACGAGAACCUAUAACUCAUGUACUUGUGCAAGAAUGGGCUUAGAUUCUAUCAUUUUAAAAUCAAAGUAUUUAGAUAUUAAGAACUUUUUCGUACCUUCCUCUUCAGUCUUGAAUUUGAAUUCGAGUUCCUUCCAAAUUUCUAUUGCAGACUGAGUAUUCGUAUAGAGAUCGUAGAGAUGAUCAGAUAGCUUAUUCAGGAUAUAUCCACGGCAUAUUAAUUUGUCCUCUUUACGUUUAUUAUGCUCCUUCUUGAGUUCAUCAGAGUCAUCCUGGGUUGGUUCAGGUAUUGGUGUCAAGUCAAGAUCUAAGACAUAGUGAACCUUCAGAGCAGUAAGCAGGAAUGCCAUCUUGUCUUGCCAUCUGGUGAAAUUGGUUCCAUCAAAGCGAUCCAAUUUGACAAGGUCCUGAUUCAUAACUUUGAUGCUUGAAACUGCAGCAUCUGAAGCCAUUAUUUGAAUACUUUUAAGAUUGAUAGAUAUAUCAGUAAAGUUGAAUGGAUCCAAGUCUGAAUUGUGAUUAAUGUCACUUUCCUUAAAAGUAUUUCAAGCACUCUCUUUAUUGUCUUAGAGUUGAACGCAAAUACCCAACAUAAUUCAGCCUCGUAAUCGAAUAUGCACAAGACUGAUGGAGAUUCGAAUGCAAAGAAAUGUGUCUGGAAUUUAUGAGAAAAGGAUACACGAAUUUGAUGUGUUGAUUUUCGAAUACUAAACAAUGUAUUUAUAGGCCAUGCAUGUAUUGUUUCACAAGGUUGCAAAUCUUGAUGAAACAACACAUUUUCAUCAUAUGUUUGUAAUGGUUUUUCUAUGGAUACAUUAUGUACCACUUCAUGAAUGGUUGCAUGUUUCGAAUUCGAAAUUCAGACUCUAAGCAACGACCAAAACCAUGAGCAACAAUUAAAAUUAAAUUUUUACAUGGCGGUCUCCCGCCAAAGCGUCACCCGCGCCGCCGUAUAACAUUGUGAGUAGCCUGAUUGCUCCGAUGUAUCGUGCAUAAGUGUUCAAGUGCCCCCUAUAAGCCGCCACUAACGCCUCUAAGUCCACACCCUCAGACCCAGUUCCAGAGCCGAAGUAGCCGGUGAUAACACCGACGAGAGGUUGUUUGGAUUAGACAUGUGAAAUAAUAUUUGGGACCACCAUAUUUGUCCAUGUGACACUUUAUCCUCUUUAGCUCAUUUAUUGAGUUUAAUGUUUUUAAGUCUUUAUAAAUGUUUUUAAAGUGAGCAUCACUUGCUAUGUGGGACUAUUGGCAAUGCAUUUAUUGUCAUUAACUCAACUUCAUACUUCUUGUCAUAUUGGAAGACUCCCAUGAAAAUUAAUUAUUCAUAAUUUCCAACACACUCAUGCAUUAAUGAACUAAUAGAUGAUUUUAGAAUAAUUGAAAUGGUGAAAAAUGAAUGUGUAUAUUUCUAUUUUUCGUGUCCUUUCUAAUUUUCAAGUGUCUUUAUUUAUAAAGAGGUUUAUGUCACUUGGAGAAGAGAUACAUCUUUUAGUUUCAACUCUGGAUUCACAUAAUGAACGGAUAUAUUCUUUCAGCAUUCAAAUAUAUUCAUAAGUAUUGCAUUAGUUCAUUGGAAUGGGUGCGCUUUCUAACCUACAAGUCACAGGUUCAAGCCUUAUGAUUUUUCAUUUUGAAUCAAAAUUUUAUUACCGUUAGUAAAACAAAAUUUAUUCAAAAAUGUCUCAUACAAGAUUCAAUCCCAGCACCUUUCUAUUAAAACAAACACUUAUUUCCACCAAGCCAUUGACACAAAGAUGUAAAAGUUUUGCUUUCAAUUUAUAUAAAUUGCUAUAGAAAUAUAAAUCUCAAAUAAUAUUUUGAAAAUCUCUUACAAUCCUCCACCAUUUACAAAAAUAUAACUAAGUCUCAUAUUUCUGGAAAUACCAUGGUUUCAGAUAAUAGUAUCUUACGAUUUGAACCAUUACUUAGCAAAUUAAGUUUUCACUCAUCCCCGAAUAGAUUGGUAGACAAGCUUUGAAUCAGUUAUUCAUUAGAACAAGCAUGCAUAAUUCACACAUAAAAUCUCGGUACUAUCAAAAGAAUUAUAAAAUUUGACACAAUUAAUACGACCUGGUUUCACAUAUCAUUUUCAUGAUAAUUUAAGAGUAAAACCAUUUAACUCUAUGAAACAACCUCAAUUUAUUCUCGUAUAGGUAGACUAUAUCAGAAAUGCACCCAUAAUUAUGCAUUCUAGCAAAUAUAUGGUAUAUGUAUAUCAAGAGAAAAAACUCAUCCUACCACAUUUAUUCUUAUGGUCCAAGUAGUUUUACUCCUUUGGGAUGUAUCUUUUGUCAAGUACUUCAAUCACUCAAAUAAUGUACUUUCAUCAUUAAACUCAAGACUUGACAUUAAUCAAGUGUGAGUUGAGUUUCCAUACUUGUGAUUAAUUAGAUAUGUGCGUACAUCACAUCCCUACAUGAUGUCUUCAACAUCAUAUCCUUGUCAAUUAUUUCGUGAAAUAAUUGCAAGAUAUUUAUAUUUUAUUAAUUUUAUUAUUAUUACUCAAAUACACACAUGACUAUGUCUCUUAUUAUUUUUAAUAGUUUAACCAAUUGUCACACAACCAUACCAAUGUAGUCAUUGAAUUACUUUGUAUGUCAUACUAACAUUUUAAAUCAUUCAACAUUUGCUAUUAAACCAUUUAAUAACAAGCAAUACGAUUUAAAACUUCACUUUUCUUUCAAAAUGCAAACAACAUAUUAAUAUAAUAAGCACGUAAAACAACCAUAAUAAAUAUGAUUAUCAAAUUUCUAUAUCUUUUGUUGAUUUCCAAACUUCUUAGAAAACUUUUGUUGUUUUCUAUAAGGAACACCUCUCUUGUAGAAAGUAAAUUAAGGUCUCUUCUCGCCCCAUUUGAUCUUCCUUUGAAUGCUUGACGCCUUAAAGGCAUAUAGAGACUCUUUAUCGAAUAUAGCACUACACCUAGGGCAUAACGUCACUUCAGAAUCCUUUAACUUACAACGACUCAAAAACUCAAUAAUCUAUUCAUCGGCUUUUAGAUAGACUACAUUCAUCUUUUCUUCGUACUCCCCUAUAACAACAUGUUUGAUUUCCAUGUCGAGACCUUCAGUAGUCUCAACUAUCAGGAUCUCAAUAGGAUCAACAUAAUAUGCAUCCUUGACUUGAAGGGGGUCGGAGUCAACUUACAUUGGGGUUUGGAUUUAUCCCCAAAUUACAAUAUGCCUUCUUUGAGGAUGUUCUGCACCAAGUCCCUGAAAAGCACACAUUGAGAAGUUUUAUGAUCCAAAAUAUUUUAAUGCUUGCAAAAACCUCUAUUUUUUCUCUGUUCUAGGGUGGUUUAGGCCUUUUGGAACUAUGAUUUACCCAUUAGUAACUAAUAAAUCAUUUAUGUUAAGUUAAAUGUAUAUGAUUUUGUAACGAAUUAUUUCGUUUUUACUAGGUUCAACGGGGUUUUCCCCGCCCGAAGGCUUUAACAGUUUGCAAACAUUUUGGGAUCCUAGCUUUAACUCCACCACAUUGACCUCACCCUCUUUGGCAUGUUCAUAAACUAUGUUAGAUUCAUUAUCAUCUUUGUCUCCUUUGACAUAAGCAACUUUUUCCUUUUUAUUAUAUUUGUUUGACCUUGCCUUCUUAGAUCUCAAACGUUUGACUUGUCGAACUCUGUCUGCCAAUUAGCCAAUGUAUCUUAAAUAUUGGAUAUCCAACUUCUUCUUAAUGGAAUAAUCUAAAUCUCAUGCCAUUAUUUCGACUAACUCAUAUUCAGGCACUUGGAUAAAGUACCUUGCUUUGAAUAGCCUAAAUCUAUUGAGAUUGUCUAAUAUUGAGUCGAGGAACUUUCGCUUCACGCUAGCCAAUUCCUUCAUGUUAAUCUUCGGUUGCCCCAUAUAGAAUUGUUCGUGAAAAACUCUUUCUAGUCGAGUCCAAUUACAUAUGGAAUGUACAAAGAGUGUGUUAAACCAUGCGAAGGCGUUUUUAUUUAGAAAAUUGGGGAAAUAUUUCAUCCUCAAAUUCUCAUUGUCCGCUAUAUCACCAGUCUCAGUCUGAUAUCUAGCGAUGUGUUCGACUGUGGAUUCACUAGUGUCUCCUGCAAACUUGAUGAACUUAGAAACUUUCCAACCUCUAGGAAGUUCAGUUUGCAGUACAUACUUCGACAAUUUAGAGACAUAAUUUGGUAUGUGGAGGCCAACUUUAAGACCAUUUUGGGCCAAAAUUUGUUUGACCAUGUUAGUCGUAUUAUUUUGCCCCCAAAAAUUAUUUUGUUGGACAUUCCUAAUCAUUUGGUAUGCAUCUUGGUUUCUAUGCACCAAUAAUAUCUCAACGCCAUUUUAGCUUGCAUUGCCUUCGACUACUCUGGGUGUAGGUUGUUCGACAUGUACAACUUGUUGUGGUAUCUGAUUAUUAGGCACUGACUGAUUGAACGUUUGAGAAACACCAAAGAAAGUAGCAAUUUAACCCAAUUGAUGUUUCAAUUACUAAUAACUAUGAUUAGUAUUUUAAAUAAGGGGAUUAAAAACGGUACAAAUUUGAUUUGUUAGCAUGUUAACCGCAUCAUUAUUACUUUCAUUCAUUUAUUUCCUCACAUGUUUUAGGGACCUAGUGUUUUAUGAUGGCAUAACUUAAGGGAGAUAUCUCAACCCUCCUUGAGAUUGCGUCAUUUGAUUAGGGUUGCUCAUAAUAAAUUAUAAUGCUAAAUAUGGAUUGAUAAGGGAUACAACAACCAUUGCAUUAUCUGCAUACGUAGAUACACUAGAAUAUAGAUCUGCCAUCAUGGCAGCUGGCAUGCCAUAAGGUUGUUCUCUACCAAUAGGGGUAAUGUAAAAUUCAAGGGAAAAAGAAACUUUUGGUCUUCUAUAUUCUGUGUAAUUCUGGGGGUAGUCAAAACACUAGACACUUAUGGUGGUUAAACCGCCACUUCUAAUGAUAUAGUCGAAGCUCACAUUUGGCUUAUGACAGUAGGAUUUUCUCCAACGAAUGUUGAAGUCCAUGCAUUACCAAUCGUCAAUCUGACUUGUUGUUCUUCUGGGUUUGGAGUAUUGUUCUGGGGAGGGGGUGAUUUUUUGUAAGACGAUUUAUUUCAGGAAGAUUUCUACCAUUCCUCAAACACAUAUGCACUCGAAAACUGAAGACAUAUACAUGAAUAACAAAAAAGGACAACAAAAACACAACAUUUUUUUGCAAAAUUUAAAACUUCUUUACACAAAAGGGUCUCACCGGAUGUGCCAAUUUGUUUAGUGAUAUUUUUAAUAAAUAAUCACGAGUUUGGUUCACUUAAGAGAUUAAACUUGAAAAAAUAUCUCAGACACAAUUUGUGUAGAAAGAAAUGCAAAGAAAAAAAUGUAUGAUUGAUAGUUAAAUGCCGGAACGUGAAUGAACUGAGUAUAAAUUUUAAUUGCAAUAAGCUUUGGAUAAAUAUAAUAAACAAAAUCAUAAGAUAUGUUAUGAAAUAACUUGAAAAGACUUUAAAAAAAUGGUGCACAAUUUCUCUAAAACUCGUUUCACUUUGUAACUCGGGUACUUUGAAUUCUAUAGAAAUUUCUGUUAAGAAUUGUGAACCUUUAAUUCUAUACAAGAGGUCUCUUUAUAUACUACUAUAUUGAUAUCGGUCGACAACGGUCAUUUCUUAAAUGUUUGACACGUACUUUAAUACAUGGACUUUAUUGCUCUAUCUUUCUUCCAUGCGUUUUCAAAGAUAAAACUGUUGAAAACAAUCAUCAUGAUGAUAAUUGCGUUGGUAACAACUUUAAACCUCUUAAUUGUUAUUGUCAAAAUUCUUUGGUCGACUCCUAUAAUGUUGUUGAAACAUCUCCCCAUUACAUAGUCUUUGGACUUAAGAAUAUCCUAAGACCCUAACAUCAGGUGGACGUAUCGAUCUCGACCUUUAUCGAAGAGCUGGUUUGUCUCAUCCUUUUCGAAAUUUUGAACAUGUUUCAAAUAAAGAGUGUCUUAAUCUUGUGGAUAUAUUCUUGAGACUCCUCUAAAUUAGUCUUUGCAUCGUCUCGUCUAAGAGGUUAAUCAGACCAUUUUAGUCGAAACAAUUAGUAUGUCAAAGUCUUUAAUUGAAGCUCUUGACACUUGACAUUUUCCAACGUAAUUACAUCAACCUUUGUCGAAUUCCUUCAGCUAAAAUUUUCAAACUAACAAUCAUGUUAUUUAAAAUAAGAUGCAUUCAUAUAAUUUAAAAUGAAAUCUACUAUGAACACUCUAUUCUCUUUUUAAUACUCUCUCAAUCACAUACUUUUUAUUAGAUAAAAUACAUGUAGAGCCGUGUCACAUAAAAAUGUACGAUCCGUAUAUGUUUCACCAAACAAAAGAAUAAGUGUGAAGAAAUUUCUAAAAAGAGAAUGUUCCCAAAAUUCUUCAUUUAAAAUAAAAUAAGAAACUUUGAUAGGAUCCUUGAAAACAUAAGGGUUUGCAUACUUUUUCAGUUGUACCAAUAAGUUAAAACAUUAAAGAUGAACAUUAAAGAGAACUAAUAAGCUGAGAAAUAGAAAUUAGCAUAACUUCAAAAUGAAGAAUGUAAAUUUCUAAACAAUUGAAGGCUAUAAAGUAACACAACCAGCAAUACGGGAUAAGGUUUAUAACCAUUAGGAUAUCUUACUAGAAAAUGCUUGUAUUGGAUAAAAAUUUAAAUAAAAAAUGCAUAGAAUAGAUAAAAUGGUUAGUUCUCCCUUUGUAUAUAAUCGAAAUAGUAAAUAACUUACAUGUUGGAGGUAAAGAGACUGUUCAUUGCAGGAAUAAUAGAAAUCAUAAAGAAAGAAGCAUAUUUAGAAUCAUUAUUAGUAGAAUUAUUCAUAUUGCUUUGAAACAUGUUGAGAAUUUGUUGGUAUUGAACGGGAAUAUCAACUAGAGAGAUUUAUUCAUGAGGAUUAAAAGAAUUGGUAUCUUUCACUUGAUCAUUAUUGACAUAAUGUUUAAAAUUCCUUGAAGACUGUCCUGGGAAAAACCAUGAUUCAAGAAGGAUGUUUCAAUUGUGUCAUUGGUUUGUUGACAAUGAGUGCAGAAAUGGUAUGAGUCUCAACCACCUAUUUCACAACCAUGUAAGAGUGCAGAAAUGGUAUGUGUCGCAACCACCUAUUUCACAACCAUGUAAGGAUGAAGCACCAUAACCAUUACUAUAAACAAUUUGUAUAGCCAGAAUAGAUUUCUCAACUACAGGAUCAAGGAAAUUGGGUAUCUAAAGACAGAUAUCUAAAGACAGACUCGAAAUUUACAGUAGGUUUCGUCAUCAAAUGAAUCCAACCAGUAUUCACCUCCAAAAAUCAUUGAAGACCCACAGGCCUUAAGAAAAAACAACAAAAAAGAGGAGUAAGACUAACAAAUAUAAAGAGAACAAAGGAAUUAAGAAAAAAAACAAUGAAAAGGAAAGGGAAAAUCUGGAGAAGCAAAGAAAGAAAAAUGCGGGAAUGAGAUGUAGUUACUAUGCGGGAAUGAGAUGAAGGACAAGACUAAGACCGAAACAGCUAGGGUUAUAAACAGUCUGAAGAAUAACACUGAAAUUUAGAGGGAAACCGCAAAUUGCACGCCAGUGAUAGUAAGCCAGCUUAAAGAAAAGGCAAUGAACAACAAUAACAAAACACCAAACUUAACUAAUCUCUAGUAGGGUGAUUUCAAUGCUUCUACGAUUGGGACCACAAACUGGAGUCUUCACAACAAUGACAUCCCAUGGGCAAGAGAAACAGGUUUUAUUUGCUGGUUCACACCACAGCUAAGGGUGUGAAAGCAAAUCAAAAUCGCAUACCGCAUCCAAAACCAGCAACCAAACAAACAAUUUUAUGUUCCAAAUUCAAGUCAUAAUAAUAAAUAUCAGCAAUCAAACAUGCCUUCAACCAAAGGAGGAGAUCCAAAAACUGAAAACACCUAGUCUAGUAAAUAAAACAACUCAAUCUGAAAUUCGGAUAAAAGCCAGUGCCGGUAAAGAUAAAUAGUCAUUCACCAAGGAAGUAAAUCCCAGCAGCAUAAAUAACUUAAGAAACAAGGCUGUCAUUAAGGGACAAUGAAGACAACUGAUCAGCAGCACCGCCAGCCUGCUGCUGUGCAACAUUCCUGAGGACGUCCAUUGCCUCUGCCACCUUUGCUUUCAGGGCUUCUGGUGACUCAAGCAAGUGCAGAACUUCAGUCUGGUCCAUCUCCAGAAGCAUUCCAGUAACUUUAGCAGCAUUGUCGGGCUCCAACUGUUCCACAAGUGGGUAAAGAUUCUCACCCAGCAUCUGCAAAUAUACAACCAACAAACAGUGGUUAGUUAAGGAUGCUAAAAUGUGUAAUGAGUAGAGCUCGGGAUAAAACUAAGAUUUAUUAGCCUAGUAAACACUAUAUGAAGUAACAUCUAGUUUUUACCUCCCCCAGACCUAAACCUAAAUCCCCAAAAUAUAUCAGUUCCCCGCCCUAAUCCCCCAUUGGGAUGUAGAAAUAAAACUCAAACUCAUCCCAAACAGGUUCAGUAUCCCCCGGCCCUCCACUAUUCACACAGUGAAAUCAAUUUUUUUAAUAUAAACAUUUCAUCUUCCCAGCAUCAUAUUACAUUACAAAUAGUAAAAAAUACAAUCUCAAAAAUUUCCAUACAUACAUUUCAAAUAAUAAUAAUAAUAAUGUACAAACCAAAUUAUAAAAAAAUUGAUCAUAUAUUUAAUAUUCCAAAUUAUCAAAACUAAAUAAUAAAGUAUAUAAUGAAAUAAAUGGGACAGGUUAGGGUGGGUACCAGUGUCUCCAUUACCCAACCUGUCCCCAUAUUUUGUAAUCAGAGAAAAACUAAACUCAGUCAAAGUGGGUUUCCCCGUCAAACUCAGGGCAGGUUUGGGUGGGUCUCGACAGUACGUGUUAUGUUGCCAUGUCUAGUGACAAGCUGUUAGUAGUCCAAUGGGUUCACUUAUGUGAGUAGGAGUGUGUAUCUAAAUAGAAUAAGGAUGAAAGAAAUGUCAUUGGAUAAUUUUUCUUAUUGGUUCAACAAGGGAGAUACUAGGAUCACUAAUUUCCAGAGGCUGGGUGUUUCACGGUUUCUGUAUUGUUACAGCAGUUACCAAUAUUAGCAUAGUUUCUGUUUUUAUGUUUACUUUUGUAACUGUCCCUUCGGAAGUUAUUUAUUACCAAUUGCAGAUUCUGUUUUAAUGUUUUGUUAUUGUAACUGUCCCAUGGGAAGUUAAUACCAACUGUAACAUCUAUUAUCCAUCAAUAUCAGGUAUUCCCUCUGUCCCAUAUUAUAAGCAAAUUUCACCUUUUUAGAUUCAUUAAAUAAUUAAUGUAUCUAGUCUAUAUAUAGAUUAGAUACAUUAGUUAUUUAAUGAAUCUAGAAAGGUGAAAUUCGCUUAUAAUAUGGGACGGAGGGAGUAUAUUCCAUACAUGCUGCAGUAGAAAUUCAGAUAUCUAACAAAAGCUUACCGUCCUCUGCUGCUCUGGAGAUGCAUUAGCCAGAUGAGAAGCCAAAGCACCAAUGGGAAUUUGUUGUGAAAGUGAUGCAUCACGAAGGGGCAUCCCACCCACAUCAUAAGGAACAGAAUACAUGCCUCCAGCAACUCCAGGCAUGGGACCAUCAGGCAUGCCCCUACCAGAAGGAUAGCGAUACACACGCCCCCUAGGAAGCAUCUGCCAAUCCCAAACAUAAUAGGUUAGUGAUCAAAAAACGGAAAGAUGACCCACAAAGUUACAAACACUUGAUGGAAUUCCACCAACCUGUUGUGGCAUAAGAGGAACUGGCUGCUGGGACUGCUGGACUGCACCUCCACGUCUUCCACCAGGACGCUGCCCUUGCUGUCCCUGCUGAACCAUUGGCACAAAGAAAUUUGGCACAGGACCCCCACCAGGCCUCAUUCCAGGCACAAGUUGUUGUUGAUACCCAAAUCCAGGCUGAGAAAAUUUCCAACGAUGAACAUAAAUAUAAUGAAAUUACCCCAUAACUUAAGGAAAAAUCAGAGGGAUAAUAUUUGUUGGGUGCACUGCUAAAGUUUAAAAAUAAACUGGCUUACCUGGGAAGGAAUGAUGGCAGGAGGGCCUUGACCAUAAAAUAUUUGUUGACCCAUACCUGGACCACCAGGGGGAUACAUAGGCAUGCGAGGAGCAACAGAUGGGGGCAUCGCAACAGGACGCAUUUGAGCAAAUUGAGCCUGCAUAAACAAUUGAGCGCAAAAAAUGAACAUUAAUAUGGUCACAUCAACUCAAUAACCAAGCAGAAUUAACCUAUCAGAUGUUGAAAAAACACAACAUCAUCAACUCCCUCUAUUUCCCAAUGAAAGCCCACUUAAGCAAGGAAAAUGUGUUUCAAACUAAAUGUCACAUUCACUAUUCAAUGUAGAAUUAAUUACUAUUUAUCCAAUUGUACCCUCUAAGAUUACUACGCACUCUACUUCCAAAGAGUUAAAUUCCAUUUGGCAUUUAAUAUGGUGGGAGGCACCAAUACUUAAGAAGGUUAGUUCAAGAAAAACCUUAAACAAUACUCAUUUUGGAACGGAGGGAGUAUAUGAUAUAAUGUUUAAUUCUGCAUUUUGGAUUACAAAUGAUCUAAAAAUCAAGAGUCAUGGAUUUUAUUUUAAAGCAAUAAACCAUAAAAUUAUAAGAAGUCAAGUAGGAGAGUAAUUUAAAUUACCAAUAAAAUGACAAGAUUAAAUAAUAAGCAAAUAUGAUUUAAAUUACCAAUUAAAUGACUGUAGUAAAUCAUAAACAAAUAUGACCAUAUUAUAUACAUCCGACAAGACAAGAUAUAACUAAGUUUAAUAUGAUUUAAGGUUAAUAACGACCUAUAAGUGUGCCUAAUAUUAAGGCCUUGAUUAUCAGAAAAUGGUUGAAUACGAACAAAAAUAUACAACAGAUUACACCUGAGUUUAGUAAUAGUUGCAGGGAUGGAUUAAGAGCAAAAAAAUAAAAAGACCAGUUCAAACUGAUUUACUACCACAAAAUCAUAAAAAGUUAUGCUGAUUUGACAAUGUAUGAAACAAUGCUAUUAUCUAAUUUUUUGGUCAAACACCUAAACAGCUCAAAAGGUUUUCCAUUUGCAUCCACAGGUGUGAUUUGUUUUUUCUAGUAUGGGAAGGUAAUAAAUAAUUGCACCUACACAUACCUGCAGCCUAGCUCUUCUAUCUUCUUUCCGUUGGGCCAGAGUCACAUACAAAGGUUUGCUUACCACCAUUUUGCCAUUCAUCUCCAAGAGCUAGCAAAACAAAAAAUAGCACAACAAGGAAAAUCAGAUCCAACCUAAAAACCCACCUGUUUUAUUAACCGAUAAUAUACCAUACAACUUACUGCUCUAGAUGCCUCCUCAGGAGUAGAGAAUGCAACGAACCCAGAUCCUCGACUUAUGCCAUUGGGGUCUCUCAUUACCUUUCAAGUGAAAGAAAAGCAACAUAUAGAUUAUGUACCUGGUGCAUAUACAGUGAGAAGCAAAUCAAAGCAAUUAUACAUACCUUGCAAGAGGUAAUUGUACCAAAAGAGGAGAACAGCUCCUUAAGUUUGUCAUCAACAAUGCUAUCAUCCAAAUUUUUGACAUACAGGUUUGCCCCUUGAUAUUUAUCAGCAGCUUCUUUCAUGCUCUGCUCAAAUUUUUGUUUCAGUUCAUGCUCCCUUUCAGAUUUCUUUUGAGCUUUUCCAACAUACCAUUCCUUGUCAUCAAUCUUUUUCCCAUUAAGAGCCUCAACAGCCCUAGCAGCAUCAUCGGUACUCUCAAAGUUUACAAAUCCAAAACACUUUGAUUUCCCAUCCCCAUCCCUCAUUACUACAGCACUGGUAAUUGUUCCAAAUUCCCCAAAAAUCUGCUUCAACUCAUCGUCGGUGGUUGUUUCCGAUAGAUUCUUAACAAAAACAUUGUUGAAUUUUGCCCUGUCAGUUGUGGUCUCUCUCUCUUGCUUGCGAAGGAAGGGUCCCACAUAAACUUGCUUAUCAUUCAACAGCAUACCAUUAAGCUUUUCAAUAGCUUUUUGAGCAGCCUCCUCACUAUCAAACUGAACAAAGCCGUAGCCUUUUGAUUGGCCAGAUCCAUCCACAGCAACCUUGCAAGAAAGGAUACUCCCAAAUGUAGAAAAUGUAUCAUGCAAUGCCUUAUGGUCAAUUGCCUUGUCCAAAUUCUGCAGUAAUUAUUAAAUUAGAAAGAUUCAAAAUAGUUCGAACAGAUCAAACUAGGUUAUGCAAUCCAGAAGUUUAGCAUGAUUUUUUCCAUUAUCAGACAGGGAUGGAAGAACCAAAGAUAGUUAUACCUUAAUAAAUAUAUUUCCUUGACCACUUUUGCGGAUACUGGGGUCACGGUGUGAAUACAUAAUACGAAUGGGCCUGUUGUUCAGAGGAGUGAAGUUCAGAACAUCCAAUGCUCUGGCAGCUGUAUCCACACAGCAAAAUAUAUCAUGAACAUCAGAUAUACAAAUCGCACGGAUACCACAACAGCAACAAAAUAAAAGAUUUCAUUACUCGAGAGAACAAAAACACAAAGAUAUGCAUAUGAAGGCUAAGUCAAUGGCAAGUGAAAAUCACAUCAUACAAAAGUUCGUGAUAUAAAGAUAGCUCGUGAAAACAUACUUCUGUUCAAUACUCCUACUAGCCAAUGACACUAAUAUUGAGUGUAACAAAGUACACAACAUUUCACUACUCUAAUAUUCCAUAUGAUGUGUUACUGAUAAACUCAUCUUACUGAUAACAAAUAGAGUCCUUGGCAGACUAAUUCUCAAAUGUUAUGACAUGUCUAUAACAUAAUAGUAGUAACCACAACAAGAGGAGGACAAAAAAAAAAGUAGAUUGACUAAUGUUUGGGAACAGAGGUAGUGCUAGAGAGUUAAGUUAAAGCAACCAAAAGAGAGCGAUAGAGAUAAAUAAAAACAUAGAAUUUGUAUAUCCACCGCCAAUUAAAAGUAUGGAAUUCGUCCCUUUAUAAAACUAUUAACAUAAUAGAGGUCAUACACACUACAUAUGCAGGUCUUUGACUGGUAUGCAAUAUUAGCAAGAACUGCUCUACAUGAAUCUAGCUCCAAAUUACUCCUAAUAGUGUAACAGUCGCUGUGUAAAAAAUUCAGUUACCAGAGGUAACCAGCAUUGCUUAUAGUGUUUGAAGUGGAGCUAUUGCAGGAUUUCUACUGCAGCAUUCCAUUAACAAUUACUGUUAACACUACUUAGUAAGUAAUCUUUUUGAGAUGGAAAAUCAAAGGUUAUAUCAGUCAUCAAGUAGUGCAAGCAUCUGCUGGAUAAUAUGUUAAAUGUGUGGAAAAAAGGGGGAAAGUAUGUAUGUCAACAAUCUCCCAAACACAAAUUAGUUUUUGAUGUUACCAGAAAUUACUUUAACAGAAAAAAGGCCAAAACAAUCUCCUUACAUCUAUUUAUUAUUCUUCAAGUGAUCUUAUACUAUUGGAUUCAUCAGACAAAGCAGUAUACAAAAUCAAACUACUGGUAUUAACCACAACAGGGAAUUGACAAGAAUACAGAUACUAAUUACAUAACCAAUGUCCAAAUUUCAGACAUAACCCUAAUACGGAAACUAAAAAUUGAUUAGUAAAAUUAAGCCUUUCUACAAACCAAUUUCUAAAUCAAACAACCAGCAAAUCAAAGCUUAAACAUUUCCAAAGAACACAGCCAGCCAGCAAUAAGGGAAAUUGAAACACGAAAAAGCAAAAACGAAAUUAACUAACCAUCUUGAGGGUUGCUGUAGUUAACAUAACCAUAACCAAGUGACCUCCUAGUGGUCAAAUCCCUGCAAACCCUAACAGACACAACCUGACCCAAUUGGUUGAAAAGGUCAUAAAGCUGAGAAUCCGUAACAUUGACAUCAAGAUCUCCAACGUAAAGCGAAGUCGUCACAAACUGAUUCCCACCAGCCGCUGCUGCAGCCGCUGAUUGAAAAGGUCAUAAAGCUGAGAAUCCGUAACAUUGACAUCAAGAUCUCCAACGUAAAGCGAAGUCGUCACAAACUGAUUCCCACCAGCCGCUGCUGCAGCCGCUGCUGCCGCCGCAGCAGCACCGCCGUUCGGGCCCGACAUCGCAUUCUGAGGCUGAACCUGAACCUGAGCCAUCUCAAUUCCUCAGCAAAAACGAUCAAAUUUAGGUUUUUUUUUCAAAAAUUUCCUAAUUUCCCCCGAAAUUUUUUCUUUUUUUUUUCUCUUCCCCCUCCUCUUGUUAUUGAUAACAAUAAAACCUAGGAAGAACAGAAAAAACUAGCGAUAAAUUGAUGGAACAAAAGCAUAUAAUUUUUUUGAUUUUGAUUUGGGGAAAACGAGGAGAGGGAAGCGAAGGGAAAAGAAUACGGAAAAAGAUAGGAAAUAAAAUAAAAAUAAAUAAAAGAGAGAAAAAUUGAAGAUGACGGAAGAGGUAGCAGAGCAAGAGCACUGCGGUGUGGAAAGAAGUAAAAACGGUGAAGCGAGAAAGUAUAAAAGAGACGGCGAGUGAGGGUAAACCCUAGCACAAUCCAACGAGGAGAUCUGGGCCGUUGAAUGGGAAAGGGUGUGGGGUCAGGAUGGAUAUGGUAGAUAAGGAUUGGGAAUUUUGGGGAAGGAGGAGAAAGGUAAAUAGGUUGAUGAGAGAGUGAAAAUAAUGAAGUAGGGUAAGUAACCGGUAAAAAUAAUGAAAAAUUCCAGUUAAAGUAGAGCUGUUUGUUUUGUAUUUUAUUUUAUUUUUGACAAUUAAUUAAUUCAUUAUCAAAAAUAAAAUAUGCAAAAAUAUAUAUAUGGUCUCACAUGAAUUCAAAUUCAAAGCCUUACAAUUAUGAUUAUACAGAAUAUUAUUUUUUAUUUAUUAAUUUAAUGGCUGAAAUUUUACCUCUUAAAAUUAAAGUAAGAAAUAUAUUGGUAAAAAUAAUUAUCAUUUCAACAAAUAUUUAAACACUUGAUUUCAUUACUAAUUUAAAAAAAUAAACAAAAUCAAUCAUAAAUAUUACUUUAAGAGUAACUCUAUAUAAAACUAUUUUGUUAAAUAAUUUAAUAUAAUUAGAAACUACUGGUGUAAAGUUAUAUGUAGAUCCAAUCAAAUCAAAUAAAAGUGUUUCUACAAUAUCUUUUCAAAUAUUUACUUUAUGAGAUUUUAUAGAUGGGUGUAGCUCUCUUCUAAAUAUUAAAUUCUAUUAAUUAAAUUAUUGAAUUAAAAUUAUCUUUUUUAUUUAAAUUAAAAUUUAUAUGGGAUAUAUUUUUGUAAUUUCAAAACUAUUUGAUACUUUAUCUUAGAAUUUGAUGCAUACAUGACCUUUUUGUGAAAAAAAUCGAUUAUUUUAUUAGAUUGAAGACUCAAUUUAAUUUCUCAUUAAAAUUAUAAAAUUCAAUUUAAUCCGUGAAAAAAGUUAUACUUAAUCCUUUACAAUCUCUUGUUAAUAUAUUUUUUUAAAAUUUUUUUUUCUUUUGAACUAUUUCUGUCAUAUGUAUUAUUUAUGACACAUGCGAUUUUUAAUAAUUAUGUAUUUAUAUAUUUUUUGUUUUUAAGAAUUGUUUGAUAUUAUUACAUAUCAUAAAAAUUAUAUGUCACUAAUGUAUAUUGACAUACAGUAAAAUAAAGACAUAAAUUUUUUGGGUUCAAUUCCUUUUAAGAAAAAAGUUUUUUUUUAUAUUUUAAAAUUUGAAUUGUUUAAAAAUAAAAUAAAGAAUAAAGAAUAAAAAAUAAAAAUAAAUUUAGUAUUUAAAAUUGAAAAAUAAAUAAUAAGUCCAACGUGACCGCUCAUGUAAUUAUAAAAUGCAUGUGGCAUAAAUAAUACACAUGACAAUUCAGUCACGUUUAAAAAUAGAGAAAAAAAUGGAUUGAAAAAUUAAAUAAUCUAUUUUAUCGAGAAUUAAUGUGAGUUAUGUAGUUUUUGUGAGGGAAAUGGGUCUUCACUCAAUUUAUUAUAUAUCUAUAAUCGUCAAAUUUAAAAUAAUAUGUAAAGUUCUUCUAUGCAAUAAAAAAAUUGGUUUAAUUUAAUUUUUGGUGAUUUAACUUAAUUAAGUUUUCAAUUGAUUCUCUUAUUUAAUUAAUAUUAUUUUUUAUUUUCUAAAAAAUUAUUUUAUCAAUCAAUUUAGUUUAUUUUACUAACAUUUAAAUUUAAAUAUUUUAGGUGGGAUAAAAUUGUAAGAUGUCUAUUAUAAACUUUAUUAUUUUUUAAUUUUAACUUAUUGAUCUUUUUAAAGAAUUUUAUAUUUUUGAAUUUUGACGGUCUAUUAAUUAUAACGAUACGCCAUCAAAAGGUAAUAUUUGUAUAUAUUUAUUUAAUGUACCAUUAUAAUUAAUAGACCUUCAAGAUUCAAAUAUGUGAAAUUAUUUAAAAAGAUCAUGGGAUUAAAAUAAAUAGUAACAAUAACAAUGUUUUAAAAAUUGGAUCAAACCGGUCGGUUCAAUCGAUUGGACUGGAAAUCGGAGAUAAUUCUGGUUGGAUCAACCUUUUAAAAUCGCUAAUGGAUCAAAAUCGAAGUAAACCGGAAAAAUUGAAUUGAACCGUCCAAAAUCAUUCUAACCAAAGAACCGGAGCUGGUUUUGUAAAACCGUCUGAUUCAAAAAAAAUGUAUCAAAUUGACCAUUUUUAAAAUUUUCUUAAAAAAUUUAAUAUUUUAAUAUGAAAACUUAACCUACAUUCUCAUUCAAAAAAAAUAUGUAUUUUUUUACGAUCAUACGAACUUCAAAGUUUUGUCACUCAAUUAUAGUUUUUCUUUCAACCACAUUUCAUUAUCACACGCCGUCUGGUUCAAACAUAAUCACGAUAUUCAACUCAAUAUUGAUUAUUACUCUUAAACAAAAAAAAUAUAUUCAAUAAUCAAACAUAAUUUUUUUGUCUAGAAGUAAAACACAAUUGAAUGUAAAGUAUAAUAGUAAUAAUCUUGAAGAUUUUGUCAAUGAUACAAUAUUAAAAAUAUAAAUAUACAUUUGAAAAGUGCAUUGUCGGUGUAAGGAAGUAUUACACUGACAUCCGAUCAAAAUAUUUUAUAUUGUCAAAUCAUAACAGUAUUUUAAAAAUAAAAGUGUGAUGUGGCGGGAUAUACGAAUCUCAUUGAUUGACACUGUAAAAAUAUUUUUUACUGUCUGUGCAUAUUCCUUUUUUUCUUUUAAAAAAAUAUGAGAGCAACAAAGACUUUAGACAUUUUAUAAAAAUAUAAAUAUAUAUUUGAAAAAAAAUAUGUAAUUUGAUAAUAUAUAAAGGGAAUAAUAUCUCUUUUGCCCCUAUCAUAUUUGUGAUAUUUAAAAAACUUAAUAGAAAAAAUGAAUUUUCUUUCUCCUUUAAGAACGAAGAUUCCUCUAUUUUGAUCCUCAUUAUAUUUAGUCAUAAAAAAAUAUAUGAUAGGUAAUUUUUUUUAAUUACUGGAUUGUCAAUUUGAUUUUUUUUCUCUAAGUUCUUAUUUUUUUUAAAUCCAUGUGACAUUUUUUUAUUAUUUUAAGUAUGAAGAUUUUAAAAGCUUCAAACACCAAAAUUUAAAAACCAAAGGAGUGAUGAAUCCAGGACCACAGACCGAAUGAAGAGGCACCAUUACCAUUGGAUCAUGCUGCCAACUUUAUUUUUUAUCCCACCAAAUAUACUUAUUAAAUACUUUAUUCUCAAGAUUAGAAUAAAUAUAUUUCAAAUAUUUUGAUUACAUAUUUAAAUAUACUUAUAUAUAGUUUAUUAAAUAUGAAAUUUAUAUAAUAAUAUUAAAUAUAAAAUAUAUUUUUUAAUUAAUAUUAUUAAGUAUGCAAUAUAUUAUAUAGUUAAUUAGUAUUAUUAAAUAUGAAAUUUAUAUAAUAAAUUAAUAUUAUUUUAUAUGAAAUAUGUUUUUAAAUUAAUGUUAUUAAAUAUAAAAUAUAUUUAUAGAAUAAAAUAAUAUUGUUAAAUAUGAAAUAUAUUUAUAUAAUAAUUAAUACUAUUAACAAUGAAAUAUAUUUUUAAACUAAUAUUAUUAAAUAUUAAAUAUGUUUAUAUAAUAGAUGAAUAUUAUUAAAUAAAAAAUUUAUAUAAUAAAUUAAUAUUACUGGAUAUGAAAUAUAUUUUUAAAUUAAUGUUUUUAAAUAUUAAAUAUUUUUAUAUAUUAAAUUAAUACAUUUAAUAUGAAAUAUACUUAUAUAAUAAACUAAUAUUGUUAAAUAUGGAAUAUAUUUAUAUAAUAUAUUAAUAUUAUUAAAUAUGAAAUAUAUUUAUAUAAUAAAUUAAUAUUAUUAAAUAUGAAAUAUAUUUAUAGAAUAUUAUUAUUAAAUAUUUAAUAAUAUUGAUCUCACCUGAUCAGGAGGGCCUUCCAAGGUCUUGGUGAAUGGGCCGGAGAAUGAAAUGAGAGGGGGGUGUACCUGCAAGGUGCUCCAACGCUUAAGUCAGAAAAGGUACAGAAUGAGAUUAUCAGAGUGUGAGUUAGAAUACCUGCCCCUUUGCCAUGAAAGGGGUAUUUAUAUUGAGCCCCCAGCGCUGGGCCAAGGCUCCUAAUGGGCUGGAUUAGCUAGGCCCAAGGAGGAGCUGCCAGGGGACGCGUAAGAAGCGUUAAGACCUAGACCAAGGUCUGCCCCCUGGUCCAACUGCCCCUAUCCCUAAGGAGACAAUAUAGGGGAGUUGGGUGACGUGGUGAGUGAGAUGCCGUUAUGGCUCUGCCCGACACAACUUAGGUGUCCGCGACGUGGGUUGACGAUGAGUGGAUGGAGAUCAUAUGAGGAGGACCCGCUCGUUGUCCGACACGUAUUUAAGGGGCCGGGGAGACAUUCUCCGGGCGGACGGUCGUUCACCUGACGUGUCCUCGUGGUCGCUUGGAUACGGUCGUUUGGACGUGGGCUUGGCGAGCAUUGGGCCGUGCCGUGCUAAGUGUCGUGGCCCAGUCCAGAACAGGAGCCCCCCAAGUCGAGUCUCUGAGCCAGAGAGAUGACUUAUGUUUCAACUAAGGGUUCCCCGAGACGAUGGGGAAGCUUGAUCGUUAGACAGGUGAGGUCGUAACAGACCUAUUCAUGACUGACAUUUCUCCGGGAAUGUCGGGGAUGGAGGUGAUCGGUUGAUCUGCACCUUCCUUGUAGUAAACGUGGGUAUGGCGCGGGGAGGAGGCGUCUUGGUGAGUCGAGGAGACGGACAGGUGCUCGGGUCGUUUCAGCUUCUUGUCUUUGAUAGACGUGUCUCACGAUUAGUGGCGUCGCUUCGUUUCGCGCGCAAAGACGGCGUAGGCAGGCUAGGCAAUGAUGACCUAGCGUGUUGGUCCACGUGCCAAGCCCUAUAAAAAGGGGUUGAGUAACUUCAUUUCUACCUUUUUUUCUCGCUCAUACGUUCACCGGAGAUCUCCACCUUCUCUCUCGUUUGCUCGCUCAACCGUCUGGACCGCCGUCUCCGCCCGUCCUCCUAUCUGAACCACCGUCUUCUGCUCGGACACCACCGUACCCUUUCAACUUAACUAUGUCAGGUAUGAUUUUCCACUGUGACCCAUUCUUUUUCCUUGUUGUUUUCUGUCAAACGCAUGAUAAUGUUGUAGAAAUGUGGUUAGGUUUAACUUGGGAACAGUGUAGUGGACUGUAGGUGUAUAUUAGAUGGUAGAAAAUAGGGUUGGGAUCCUACUGUACCGGGCAUAAACUUCAUAUGCUGGGCAAUACUUGCAUAGGCUGUAUGAAGUUUAUGCCCGGUCUCCAUAGAAUGCGCGCGCCACCGAGUUGAGCGCGGUUAGUGUCCGUCGCCGCUACGCCCUUUCACUUGACCUGCGGUGGAAGGGUGGAUUUGAUAUGACGUCGAAUUCACUCUUUCUGUCUGCGUUUCAGGUGCUACCGGGCGCUUACGACCGAGGAAGGAAGAUUCUGGGUCCUCCACCGAAGACGCGACAAUCGCUCGUCUCCCUGUCGGGGAUGGGAGUGUCCGAGAUGGUACCGAACACGCCUCCUCUUCCGGGCAGGUCGACUUCUCAUGGGUUGCGGACGAGCCCUUGGAGGAGGAAUCAGACUUCUGUGACGAGGCCAUCACUGCUCACGCUAUGGUCGAGGCCAUAAGCCGGGAGGAUCCACCAAACUGGUAUUGCUGCGCCCCCAAGGAAGAAGACCGCAUUUGUCAUCAUUUCCCGGGGAAGCAGUUCACCAUGUAUGAAUUUGCUUUUCGUGAGGCGGGGAUUAGACUGCCCUUCAACUCCUUCCAGAUGUCGGUCUUCAAGUGGCUCCGGCUGGCGCCGUCCCAACUACAUCCUAAUGCUCUCGCAUUUAUGCGGGCAUUCGAGUUAGUUUGCCAGUUCCUCGGCAUUGGUUGCACCCGGGCUCUCUUCUUCCACGUUUUCCAUCUCCAGAGGUCCGGUUCCCGUGGUCGCCACAGUUGGGUUUCUUUCAAGCAGCCCGUGCGUCUGUUCAAGACGUACGAGGAUUCUGUUCGCCAUUUCAAAAGCCGGUGGUACGUGGUGAUGCCGAUUACCCGGGCUGCCCUUCACUCUCUCUACUACUAUCAACGGGAACCCAACGGGGAGGAGACGCUGAUGUCGAAGAUACCGCUGAGGUGGCAGCGUGAUCAUUUCGAUCUCUCCACGGCGCAUUACCGGGUCAAGUACGCGAUGCUCGGCGAGGAGGAUAGGCUCGCGUACAAGAAGCUGGUCGAUUACGUGCAGAGCUUCAGCUUGGCGUUCUGGGCGAAUCGACAGGGCGUGCCCUACCUGGAUGAGGCCGGGGAGCUAAUCACCGAGACGCGUUAUAUCAAUACGAAGGCUCUGCUCGAGUGUGAUACCGAGGAGGAAGCUCUGGCGUUAUUGAGUAGGCAGACUUUGUUUAGCUUUUUAUUUCUGUUUAUGACUUCGGUCGCUAAUGUUUGUGUGUAAUUUAUUUGCAGGUGCCAUGCCCAAUGCUCGUGAUCGGGUGCUGAAGCUAGCGAAUCAGGUCGGCGCUCCUGACCGGGUGCCCAAGAAGAAGAAGAAAACUGCGGCCCGUGUCUCGGAGACUGCUGGCGAUGCCGGGGUCGGUCCCUCGCAGGCGGCGAGCGUGAUUCCUUCCUCUCCUCCUCGGUCUAACCCGAUCAACAUUCCUGAUAGCAGUCCGUCGCCAGCGGCUUCUCCCCUCCAUAAACGGAAGCGUCCGGCUGGGGCCCUUACCAGGUCGUCUCCAGGAAGUUCGCAUGGACCGGGCAGCUAUCUUCUGCCUCCCUGCUAUGUGGAACGGUCGUUCUUCAAGGCCGAGGAGUCGAUUGCUGUGCCUGCGCCUGAGGCCAAGGCUAUUCUGGACCAGGAUGUUGCUGCCCGGAGGAAAGAUCUGGCCAGGGAUAUUGCUGCCGUCAUCCGGGUGAUGGAGACGGCCAUGGUUCUGACCGACACUUCGGUCUCCACCGCCUCGCUGGAGGAAGCCCUUUUGCAGGUUCGGACAGAGAAGGAAAGACUAUCUCAAGAUCUGUCGGACUACAAAGAAGAGCAUCAGCUGCAGGAAGGGCUGCGCCAGAAGCUGGAGGAGGUGGAAAGGGAGAGGGACCAGUUGAAGGCUGCUAAGGCGAGCCUGGAAGAGCAGGUGGUCGACCAUCAGAAGCUGACCGAGGACAACGCCUACCUACGGGCUCAGGUUGAGUCUCUCGAGGGAAAGGUCCGUCCUCUGGCAGAUGAGACCGAGGAGGAACGCGCCCUUGGUUCGCGCGGUGAGCUGCUAGGGCAUAUUCGGACUCUCAACCAAGAUCUUGUGGCCUGCUUCAAAGAGGGUUUCGACAAUGCUGUCGAGCAGCUCGGGCUUCUGAACCCUGAGUUGGUGACGGAAGGGUCGGCCUAUAACUGCUGCGUCCGGGAUGGUGAGAUCAUCUGCCCGUUUGAAGUGGAGGAGGAGCUGGGGGGAGAAGAAGAAGAAGAGGAUGAAGAGGAGCUCCGAGCGGAGUCUUAGUUUAUAUGUUUUUCUUAUCAUGGCCUGCGUGCCUUAUGUAUUUUGGCCUUCGGGCGUUGUAAUAUGGCCUUCGGGCGUACUUGGCUUCGGCCGCUUUUAUCGUUUCUAAUGUAUGAAUAUUUUUGUUACCAUUCAUUGUGCUCGUUUGUGUUUGAUACUUGUUUGCAUGAAUUCGUACUCUGCUCGACUUUGUUAAUCUCCUCGGUUUAGGGAACCGACGAAGUGUCGGGCUUUGUGCCCGUGGGUAUCGAAGCCCGGGUCCGUUGUUCGAACCCUGGUCCCGAGGCUUGGGUCCUCCCAUCGCGAGCUGGGUGCCCUGCCAGUCUUGGUACUUCGACGUUGAGCCUUGGUCAAGAUCCCAACCGUCGGGGAGGGUUGUGUUUGUUAUGUGACCCCGGAUCGUUCCCGGGUCUCGUGGUUCCUCCCUGGGGUUUUGGGGACGAAGAGCGUGGUCGUACCUGCCACGUCUCCCCGUGGUGUAUUUAGCUGUAAUAUUGUCUAAGUUUUUCUGCGUUCCAUGGUCGAGCGAGUUGUUCUCCUUGUAGGUUUUCUAGGUAAUAGGCCCCGUUGCUCGUUUUGUCGCGGACGCGGUAAGGGCCUUCCCAGUUGGCCGCCAGUUUGCCCUCUCUCGGGUUUUUCUGGUUUCUUCUGAGGACCAGGGUGCCGACCUGGAACUCUCUUUUUAUGACUUUCGCGUCAUGGCGUAGUGCUAUCUUUUGUUUGAGGGUUGUUUCCCGGAGAGCUGCUUCGGAACGUAUCUCCUCGACUAGGUCGAGCUCGGCUCUAAGGGUUUCAUCGUUCAUUUCCUCGUCUAGGGGCUCCUCUGUCCUCCUCGUUGGCGUCCGUAUCUCCACCGGGAUGACUGCCUCGGUGCCGUAAGUUAGUCGGAACGGGGUUUCCCCGGUGGUAGAAUGUGGUGUCGUGCGGUAGGCCCAUAGGACGCUAUGUAGCUCCUCGACCCAUGCCCUCUUUGCCUCGCCGAGUCUGCGUUUGAGGCCACGUAAGAUUACCCUGUUGGCCGCCUCUGCCUGCCCGUUCGUCUGCGGAUGCUCGACAGACGUGAAAUGCUGUGUGGUGCCCAGGCUGGCGAUGAAGUCCUGGAAUCCUCCGUCCGUGAAUUGUGUCCCGUUGUCUGUGACAAGUGCCUGGGGUAUACCGAACCGAGCGAGGAUGUUGCGUUUGAAGAACCGGAGAAUGUUCUGCGCGGUUAUUUUAGCCAGUGCCUCCGCCUCGAUCCAUUUGGUGAAGUAAUCCACCCCGACGAUGAGGUAUUUAUUCUGAUAUGAUCCGGUGACGAAGGGUCCGAGGAUGUCCAUGCCCCACCACGCGAAGGGCCAUGGGGAAGACAGUGAUUUGAGGUCGUUCGGGGGUGCGAGGUGCAUGUCGGCAUGUCGUUGGCAUUUGUCACAUCUUUUGACGUGCUCUUUCGAAUCGUUUUGCAUGGUCGGCCAGUAGUAGCCUGCUCGAAGGGCUUUUCGUGCGAGCGAUCGUCCGCCGAGGUGUUGAGCGUUAAUUCCCCGGUGUAUCUCUCCAAGUAUGUCGGGGACUUUCUCUUCCUCGACGCAUUUGAGUAGUGGGAUGGAGAAUCCUCUCCGGUAGAGUUUGCCUUCGAGGAGUACGUACGAGCAUGCGCGUCGUUUGACAGUGGUCGCCUCUUUCGGGUCAGCCGGGAGUUCGUCUCGUGUGAGGUAAUUGUAGAUGGGUGUCAUCCAACAGUGGGCAUCUCCAAUAGCGUUGACCUCGAGUGGAGGCGGUAGUUUGUCGAUGCUGGGCCGAGGGAGAAUUUCUUGGAUUACUGAUUUAUUCCCACCCUUUUUCCUCGUGCUGGCUAGUUUCGAGAGAACGUCUGCCCGUGUGUUGUGCUCGCGGGGUAUGUGUUGAACUUCCCAUUUUUCAAAUCUAUCAAGUUUUUCUUUGACGAGGGACAAGUACCCGAGGAGGUUGUCGUUCUUGGUUUGGUAUUCUCCUCGCACUUGUGAGGCCACGAGCUGGGAGUCGGUGGAUAUUUUUACCUCUUUUGCUCCCAGGUCCUCGGCUAACCUCAGGCCUGCGAGGAAGGCUUCGUAUUCGGCUUGGUUGUUUGAUGUUGGGAACGCUAGCGCUAAUGAUACCUCUAUCAGGAUCCCUUCUUCAUUUUCGAGGAUGAUCCCGGCCCCGCUGCCUGAUGUGCUAGAGGCGCCAUCGACGAAGAUCGUCCAUUUGUGGGCGCUUUCUGCUGGAGUCGGGCAGUGGGUCAUCUCCGCGACGAAGUCGGCCAGUGCCUGAGCUUUCAAGGCUUUCCUACUUUCGUAUUGUAUGUCGAAUUCGGAGAGUUCUAGUGACCACUUGAGCAUCCUCCCGGCCAUAUCCGGGCGCCCGAGCAGCUGUUUGAUUGGCUGGUCGGUCCUCACCUUUAUCGUGUGUGCGAGGAAGUAAUAUCGUAGUCUCCUCGCUGUGUUGAUGAGGGCCAGGGCGACCUUUUCGAUUUGCUGAUAUCGGAGCUCGGGACCUUGGAGUGCUUUACUCGUAAAAUAGAUGGGCUUUUGUCCUUCGUCGGUUUCUCUUAUUAGAACGGCGCUGACGGCCUCGGUUGCCACGGAUAGGUAUAAGUAUAGGGUUUCCUUUUCUGAUGGCCGUGAUAAGACCGGGGGUUGGGACAGAACCUUCUUUAGAUGGAGUAGCGCUUGCUCGCAUUCAUCGGUCCAGUCGAAGGUAGCCUCUUUGCGAAGGAGUCUGAAGAAUGGCAAUGCGUGCUGGGCGGACUUGGCGAUGAAACGGGAGAGUGAGGCGAGCACUCCAUUGAGUGACUGGAUCGAUUUUUUGGUUUUCGGGGUCGGAAACUCCGAGAAUGCCCGGCAUUUGUCGGGGUUGGCCUCGAUCCCUCUUUCGGUGAGAUAGAAACCGAGGAACUUGCCUGCCCGGACUCCGAACGUGCAUUUCUCGGGGUUGAACCUCAUUUUACACUGUCUCGCCUGCUCGAAUACCUUCGUAAGGUGUCGAGCAUGGGUUAUCUCCUCGUGUGAUUUGACGAUCAUGUCGUCCAUGUAUACUUCGAGCAUGUCCCCUAUUUCGUCCUUGAAGACUUUGUUCAUCAUGCGUUGGUAUGUAGCGCCAGCGUUCUUGAGCCCGAACGGCAUCACGUUGUAAUAGUAAUUGCCCGUUGGGGUCAUGAACGCUGUGUGUUUCUUGUCUGCGGGCGACAUAGGGAUCUGGUUGUAUCCACUAUAUGCGUCCAUGAAGGACAAGAGUUUAAAACCUGCAGAGUUGUCAACGAGCGAGUCUAUAUUAGGGAGGGGGAAAGCAUCUUUCGGGCAAGCCCUAUUAAGAUCAGUAUAAUCAACACACAUACGCCAUUUUCCAUUAUUUUUCUUAACGAGGACUACAUUAGAGAGCCAGGUUGUGUACUGGGCUUCAGAAAUAAAAUUUGCCUCUAAGAGGUCUUUUACAGCUCGCUCGGCAGCCUCUGCCUUUUCGGGCGAUUGCUUGCGUCUACGCUGUGCUAUGGGCUUGGCUGCCCGGUCUACAGCUAGCUUAUGACACGCGAUCUCGGGGUCCAGCCCGGGCAUUUCUGCGGCAUUCCACGCGAAGAGGUCGGAGUUCUCUUUGAGGCAUGCUACUAGCUCUUCUCUUGUUUCCUCGGGUAGUCCCUUACCUAUCUUCACCGUCCUUUCCGGAUCGUCCCCAAGAGGAAUGAGUUCGAACUCCCCGUCGGGGAUUGGUCGGACCGGGUGUUCGAGAGAGCGUUCCUUGGGGAACCUCCCCUCUUCGGUCUCGUCCAGCCCGAUGCGACAGUCGAGGUCGAUGGCGUUGACUCCUCGGGCAGGAUCCUCGGUCUUGAGUUUUUUGUUGUUGCAGUUGCUCUUCGUGCUGACUACGGCCUGUCCUUUUACUGCGGCGUCGUAGCAUCGUCGGGCUGCUUCGAUGUCACCAUGGAUGGUGACCACACGUCCCAAUUUGGUGUAGUAUUUCAUCUUCAGGUGGACGGUGGAUGGGACCGCAGUGAGUUCGGCCAGUGUCGGGCGUCCAAAGAUGCAAUUGUAGAGAGACGGACAGUCUACGACCAGGAAUUGGAUUUUGACUUCCCUGGCCGUUUCUUGUUCGCCGAAGGUGACGAGGAGCUCAACAUAUCCCCACGGUCUGGUUGUUGCUCCGUUGAAUCCUUGGAGAUCUGAUCCGACGUAGGGGGCUAAGUUGGUCUUGUCUAGCUUCAGAGUCUUGAAGAGGUGGACGUACAUGAUAUCCACUGAGCUGCCUUCGUCGACCAGGAUGCGUCGUACGUCGAAUCGGGCCAUCUUUGCUCUUAUCAAUAGUGGGAUGGCCGAGUUCGGGGAUCCGCCCGGGAGUUCCUCCAGGAAGAAGGAUAUUGGGUUGGAUUUUCCCCGGUAUUUUGUCAAUGUCGCUUUCUGCUCGGGGGCAGUCAGUAGGAGUUCGUCGAACUUACGUUUGACGGAGAGGGCCGCGGAUUCCCCGUUAGUUCCUCCUCCUGAUAUCACCAGUGUGGUAGGGAAGUCUUCCCAGGGGCUGAGUGCAGUGAUCUUGCCCUCGGGCAAUGGUUCGGGGAGGAAGAAAUCUUCCGGUCGUGACACGCAGAGGGCCACUUGAUAGGGAGAGUUGUCGGGGGGUGUGUUUUCCCGGGGUCUCUUCUUCUCUGGCUCGUCGUGUCUGGGAGCUUCGUUCUUCCUCGUGUACUGCUUCAGGUGCCCUUCUUGGAUUAAAAUUUCAAUCGCAUCUUUCAGGUGGACGCAGUCUUCGGUCACGUGCCCGUGACUUCUGUGGAACCGGCAGUACUUUGAUUUGUCGGUGUGGGGCUUUGGUGCAGACGGUUUUGGGAACCUGACCCUGCCCUGCUUAAAUUCAGAGUUGAUACAUUCUGCGAGGAUACGCUCUCGAGGAGCUGUCAGUAAGGUGUACUCGCUAUAUCUGCCCGCGGGGCCUCUUCCUUCCCGGAGCUCGCGAGGUCUUUCUUCUCUUCGUUUGUCUCCGUUGCGACGGGAAAUGCUCGUGUCCUCGCGUUUUGAGUGCUCGGUCUCCCCAGCGUUACGUCCGCUGCGGGCAUUGUGUGCCACCUGCUUUUCCUCGUAUCUGAUGUAGGCCUGGGCUUUAUGCAGGAGCUCGUUUAAGGUGCGGGGAGGCUCGAUCCCUACGGCUCUGCUAAGUUCACUGCCGGGUAAGAGACCUCUCUCGAGGAGAUACUUCUUCAUGUGCUCGGUGGUAUCUACCUCGACAGCUUCCUGGUUGAAUCGCUCGAUGUAUGAGCGCAGUGUUUCAUUCUUCUUCUGCACUAUGGCUUCAAGGGUCGCCUCAGUCUUGGGGUGACGACGGGAAGCUGUAAAGUGCCUGGUGAACAUGGACCUCAUGACUCUCCAUGACGUAAUGGACUCAGGGGCCAAGCUUUUGUACCAAGCCAUGGCCCCUUUCCUGAGGGUCGUUGAGAACAGUCGGCAUUUGAGGUGCCCGGUUAUAUCAUUGCGGUAGUCGAGCAUCGCGUUGACGUUGUCGACGUGAUCGUCGGGAUCUGUAGUCCCGUCGUACACAGCUAGAUUUGGUGGUUUCUCCAUGCCUUUGGGGAGCGGGGCUUCCAUUAUUGCCCGAGAUAGGGGGCAAUGCAAAUCUUCCUCGUCGCUCCUUAAGGGAGACAGUUCGUUGUUGUCGGGGCUGUGUCCGCGCCUUGGUGAUGUUCCCGCUCGACCACCGUCACGACGGGCGCGUGCCCUGCUGACGUGGGGUUCUGGAGAGCGACGUCCUCGCUUCUUCGUUGGCUCCGAACGUUGUUGUAUCCUACUCACCGGCUGGGGCCGGGCCUCUUGUCGUUCGGCUUCGAGGGCCAUGAUUCGUUCGUGCUGCUGGUGGAGCAUAGAACCGGCCUGAUUGAGGGCAUUCACCAUGGCAAU